rnacentral:lncRNA from 1 species
UACAAGUUGAAUAUUUUUUUGAUUAUAUAAAUACCAUAGGGUAAUUAAGGGCCAGAUGCAUGCCUGGUGGGAAUGACUAGUUGCGGUAUUCCUACCCCCCCCCAAGUUGAACCUUUUAUUACUGCUCUGUGGAGAGUGAACAAAACUAUGAUUAAAACUGUGAUGCUGUGGCUGGUUGUCUGCUUCUCAGCAGCUGCAGCAGGGAAAGGUGAUGAGAAGUUUAUCAGAGGGGGCCCUCCCGUGCUCUGUGCCCAGGGCCUGUUUGCUUCUUGUGCGGGUCGUCUCCAACACACUGCGAGCGGGAGCAAAUCGCUGCUCCUGGAGCAGGAGGCACAGGAAGGCCAAGCAUUUCUGCUGCAGUACAUACUAUGGAUGCCAUCAGAAGGUUGAAAUAUGGAAAGCACCAACAUACUCACCAUCCUGGCAUCUGAAGGCCUUUACUGUCCUCGUGUCACAUUGCAAAUAGACACUGUCUAGGCCCUGAGUAUUCCACCAGGCUCUGCAGCAUCUUUGCCUCCCUGGGAUUUUGGCUGCUGAUGUGCAAGAUCAGCACUGGCGUGGUGCAGGUGAGUUUGGACGUGCCUCAUCACUAUGGACUUGUCUCACGUCCAAGGAACUUUAGGCUGACACUUUUUAUCAUCACCCAACUCACUCUGCCCUUCUUUCUUGGGUACAAUGGGACUGCACCAGGUUGGGAGGACACUGCCCUGCUGUCUAGGUGAUGGCCUGUGACUCCCAGCUCGUCUUUGCAGAUCAACCCACUGAAACAUGGCAAGAUUCUGUAAUUAUACUAAAAUAGACCAAUAUUUUCUCAAGAAAUUUACUAGUCUUUUGAAAUGUUGCUCUGUGCAUCAAAUCCAUGUAUAAAAGAAAUGGUAAAUCAAUUAUUUCAACCUAGAAAGUUUUUUUUUUCUAUAGUCUACAUGCUAAUAGUCAACUGCAGACUGCCUA